UACGUAGGGGGCAAGCGUUGUCCGGAUUUAUUGGGCGUAAAGAGCGUGUAGGCGGCCAGGGAGGUCCGUUGUGAAAACUCGAGGCUCAACCUCGAGACGCCGAUGGAAACCCCCUGGCUAGAGUCCGGAAGAGGAGAGUGGAAUUCCUGGUGUAGCGGUGAAAUGCGCAGAUAUCAGGAGGAACACCGGUGGCGAAGGCGGGUCUCUGGGCAGUAACUGACGCUGAGGAGCGAAAGCGUGGGGAGCGAACAGG
rnacentral:rRNA from 1 species